UGGGGAAUAUUGGACAAUGGGCGAAAGCCUGAUCCAGCCAUGCCGCGUGUGUGAAGAAGGUCUUCGGAUUGUAAAGCACUUUAAGUUGGGAGGAAGGGCAGUAAGCGAAUACCUUGCUGUUUUGACGAUACCGACAGAAUAAGCACCGGCUAACUCUGUGCCAGCAGCCGCGGUAAUACAGAGGGUGCAAGCGUUAAUCGGAAUUACUGGGCGUAAAGCGCGCGUAGGUGGUUCGUUAAGUUGAAUGUGAAAGCCCCGGGCUCAACCUGGGAACUGCAUCCAAAACUGGCGAGCUAGAGUAGGGCAGAGGGUGGUGGAAUUUCCUGUGUAGCGGUGAAAUGCGUAGAUAUAGGAAGGAACACCAGUGGCGAAGGCGACCACCUGGGCUCAUACUGACACUGAGGUGCGAAAGCGUGGGGAGCAAACAGG
rnacentral:rRNA from 1 species